rnacentral:tRNA from 4 species
AAAUCCGUCGAUUUAUAAAAUCGUGAGGGUUCAAGUCCCUCUAUCCCCA